rnacentral:rRNA from 1 species
UAAGCGGCCAAUACCCGUCGUAAGUGACGGUACCGUAAGAGAAAGCCACGGCUAACUACGUGCCAGCAGCCGCGGUAAUACGUAGGUGGCAAGCGUUGUCCGGAAUUAUUGGGCGUAAAGGGCGCGCAGGCGGCGUCGUAAGUCGGUCUUAAAAGUGCGGGGCUUAACCCCGUGAGGGGACCGAAACUGCGAUGCUAGAGUAUCGGAGAGGAAAGCGGAAUUCCUAGUGUAGCGGUGAAAUGCGUAGAUAUUAGGAGGAACACCAGUGGCGAAAGCGGCUUUCUGGACGACAACUGACGCUGAGGCGCGAAAGCCAGGGGAGCAAACGGGAUUAGAUACCCGGUAGUCCUGGCCGUAAACGAUGGAUACUAGGUGUAGGAGGUAUCGACCCCUUCUGUGCCGGAGUUAACGCAAUAAGUAUCCCGCCUGGGGAGUACGGCCGCAAGGCUGAAACUCAAAGGAAUUGACGGGGGCCCGCACAAGCGGUGGAGUAUGUGGUUUAAUUCGACGCAACGCGAAGAACCUUACCAAGCCUUGACAUUGAUUGCCAGGGACAGAGAUGUCCCGUUCCUCUUCGGAGGACAAGAAAACAGGUGGUGCACGGCUGUCGUCAGCUCGUGUCGUGAGAUGUUGGGUUAAGUCCCGCAACGAGCGCAACCCCUAUCUUCUGUUACCAGCGAGUUAAGUCGGGGACUCAGGAGAGACUGCCGCAGACAAUGCGGAGGAAGGCGGGGAUGACGUCAAGUCAUCAUGCCCCUUAUGGCUUGGGCUACACACGUACUACAAUGGCUCUUAAUAGAGGGAGGCGAAGGAGCGAUCCGGAGCAAACCCCAAAAACAGAGUCCCAGUUCGGAUUGCAGGCUGCAACCCGCCUGCAUGAAGCAGGAAUCGCUAGUAAUCGCAGGUCAGCAUACUGCGGUGAAUACGUUCCCGGGCCUUGUACACACCGCCCGUCACACCACGAAAGUCAUUCACACCCGAAGCCGGUGAGGUAACCGCAAGGAGCCAAGCCGUCGAAGGUGGGGGCGGAUGAUUGGGG